rnacentral:siRNA from 1 species
UACUUUACUUUACUUUCUUGCGUU